ACCAAUGUCAGUGGUACAGGCCCAGGGGAUAGAUGCAGUGUUUGAGUGUCGGUACCCUGGAGCACAAAGUUACAAAUGUGUGCCGGCUCAAUGGAGAGUUUCCUACACAUGAUAAUUUCCCACCUGAUGUAACUGUUAUCUUACCGUCUGGUGAUAUCCCAACAAAACUGAUCAUAGCCACAGGCCAGUGCAACAACACUGUUGUGCAGUGUGAGGCAGUAGUUAGAGACGGACGAGCUAGUGUUCAUACCUGAAUUAUCAGUAAAUUCUACCUUGCAAGUACAAGGUCCUCUUUCAGCUGUCUCCAACCUCCAUGCUCAGUCAUCAAGCACCAACAUCACAAUCACCUGGGAUGCUCCCUUCUCUCUUAACCU